AUGACUUUGGAUGCCGGUCUGAUCCCAGAGACGUCAGCCUUCCUAAUCAUCACAUCAUCCUGAGGAAGAUGGAGGACGCCAGGGGAUGAUGGCAUGCCUGCUGUGACAGCAUGGGACAGCAUGAGUGUAAGCAGUUGAUGCCAAUGCUGGAAUAUCAGCUUCCUCUCCAGAAUUCUCUGCCAUUGAAUCAGCCCUCUCGAUAGGAAUGCCCUCUGUCUGACAGACAGGCCCAGUGUCCAGCAGAAAGCUCUGCCUGCAUCCAAAUCUCUCGGCUGGCUUUGAAUUGGCCUCUUUGUCCGUCCCUGCAGAUCCAAAUCAUCAAGGCCAACGCUGUGCCCUUGUGCGCUGUCACCAUGGGAACGGGGACCGCGGCUGCCAAGUUUGCUGUUUGCUUUGGCUGGAAAUCAAAGCGCGCGUGGAGGUGGGGAUGGAUGGGGUAGAGUGGGAGGUGAUGUGGCUUGACGUGGGAUGGUAGAGGUGAUACAGCGUCUUAAGGUACACCGUGGCUUUGUCCCCUUAAACAGGAAGCCACAGUACACUGGUCCUCCCUGAGGAAAGAGAUCAGGUUUUCCUGACCACCUCUGCCUUGUCGUCAACCCAACAUGCUCCUCCUGAUCCUGACAAGAUCUGCAUGUGUCACAACCUACAACAUGAGCCCACCCCCUGCAAACCCUACCAUACCCCCUGCAACUCAAUUUGUUUACUUUAACGCACGUGACUGGACUCCUUGAAAACAGAUACAACGUGCUGCUCUAAAUGUGACAAUAUCAACCACCUCCAAAAAAAUCAAUAAAGCCGCUGUUCACAGCUCAUAGGCUCAGCAGAUCGUGUUACACGGCUGUAGCAUGAUUCUGUUGCGAGUGACAGGUACGGUUUUGUUAUCGUAGAGAAGGCUAAUCACCCCUGAAGCAACUGAAAGUAAACAGGCUAUUAUAUACCAGAAAACCACAUUGUUGCUGUUUCAUUCCUUGCGGGCUCACCAGGAGAAUUCCUUUUACAGAGUACGGAUCAUUUAUGUGCCAAUUCAUCAGGUGCUUGAAUUUGAAUUUAU